AUGCCCAGCCUUCAAGCAUGGACGCCCGGCAUCCCCUCUCCAAUUGGACACAAGCCCAGUGGCCGCACUCACAAGCCUAUCGUCCCCCUUCACUUGGGGAUACACCCCCGGUGGCUACCCCACAAGCCGGCAUCCCUCAUCCUUCUUGCACACACACGCCUGGCUUCCUCACUCCAAGCCCAGUGGCCAACUCUCCUUGCAAGGACAAAUUGUGCUAACACCCAAAUUUAAAGAUGCAAGCCCAGCAUUCCUAAGCUCAACUCCCAGGAUGUAACAAUUAAUAAGGUCCAAAUUCAGUUAUCAAAUUAUUGAAAGUCUUAAUCACAUCCAAGAAUUGAAGAUUCAAGAGAUUAGUUAUCAUUAAUUCCUUCUAGAAAGAUAAAGAUUUGGUUGUUAAGAUUUGUUUAUAGAAUAGAUUUGAAUUAUGUUGAUUUGAAUUCAAAUAGUUAGUUAUCUUAUCAUUACUCGAGAUAAGAUUAGGAUUAGUUUGGAAUUUGAAUUUUAGAUAAGAUUUAGGAUACAAAUAAGUGAACCUUGUUCAUAGAGAGGAGUAAUCGGAUCACACACCUUUCUCCCCAUUAGGAUUACUUUCUUCUUUAUCAUAAGUCACUAAACCUCCUCCGUUAAAGGUUAAAGGCUCUGUUUGAUUUUAGGAUUAAUAAUGUAAGUGUUUUCUUUAUUUUAAUUCAUACUUCUUUCCUUUUUUCAUGAUUGAGUUCGUCAAUAAUGGUUAGAACUAUUGAGAAAUAUUCUAUUCUAUCUUGGUUUCUGAUCUUAUAUUUGAAAAAAUUAAUUUCGAAAUUAGCUUAAAACUCAUCCUAUAAUCUUCAAUUAUCUAGAGAUAGCUCGAAUAAGUAACAUAUAACUCGGCUAGUGAUAGUUCUUAAGGACUGUGUGGUUUAAAAGUUGAAACCGUUCUUCAUCUCUUCUCUCGAUUAGUUGACCGAGGAAUUAAUGAUUAAUUGGGUUUAGAGAAAUUAAAUCAUCAAGGGAUUGGGGUUCUUCCAAGAAUAAGAAAGCACAAGCAUCUUUCUUCCAAGAAUCAAACAUCUUCGAAACCUUGAACAUUCUCAUCUAUUGAAUCUCUUCCAAUUUCAAGUAUUCUCCCAAGUCUUUUCUUUUGUUUCUUCUUUUCUUCAAGAUCCACAAUCCAAAAUCUAAGAUUUGAUCGAUCUAAUUAGAUAUUUAAUUAGACGUUGCUUGCCUCAAUCCGUCGUGGAAACGAUGUCCACUCACCAUUGUAUUACUUGAACAAUUCGGUACACUUGCCGGUAUCCAUGAACAUUAACUUUUGCUCAUCAUUGGUACCUUCACUUCCAAGGAUUGUUUUGUAUGUAUCAUCAUCGGCUAUUGUGAAGGCAGAGAUAUGCUGAAGCUAUAAAAAAGUCUAAUGGUAUUCAUUUUUCUGAAGAGAAGCUUUGUAAAUGGCUUGUUCAACUGCUGAUGGCACUUGAUUACUUGCAUACAAAUCAUAUCUGCACUGUGAUGUCAAGCAAUCAAAUAUAUUAUUGACAAAAGAUCAAGAUAUACGUCUAGGUAAUUGAUUUCUACAUUCUUUUGACUUCACAUGGCAUUUAGUCUCGACAUCUCUAAUUCUGUGCCUUCUUUCGGUAUGUCUAUUGAGAAUAUUGAUUAGAAAAUAAUGAGGAAACUUUUUAACUAUCUACUAAUCGAAUAAUAUCUCUACUAAUGUCCUAUCUUAUGUUAUGAGUUAUGUAUGCUGGAUGCAGGUGACUUUGCUCAUUCAAGAAGGUAAUCUUCAUUUAUGAUGUUUGGACCAUAAAAUAGUUCACUAUAAUAUUUUUUUUGUCUUGUAUCUGAGCAGUAUAUGCAAACAUUGAUUAAUAAAAUAAACAAGUCUUUAGUGGCUCCACUACCAACCAUGUAUUCCAAUCCAUUGUGAGAUCUCUAUUUCCUAAAAUAUCUAAGAUCUUUAUGCACACUAUAUUUCUUUUACUUGUGUUCUAUUUAACUAUUAUGUUUUUUUAUUCUCUUUUGCUGAUAUCUUACAAUCAAACUUAAAGCUGUUGUAGAUUAUAAUUUAAGUUUUCUAAUAUGUAUAAAGCAUGUAUACAACAUUCAAUUUGUUUGAUAUUACCUUUCAUUAAAACUAACUGAUGAUAUGGAAUUUACUUUGCCAUUAUACAUUUUGGAAUGAAAAUCAUGAAUAAAAUUAUGAUGAUUCCAGACAUGGUAGAUGGAUAAGGGCAUUUAAUCAUAAAUAGAGAGGUAAAUCUAAAUAGUUACACUAAUGUUUGAUCAAUCUCUCUCUUACUGUUGUUCAUAUAUUAUUACGAAGCAAAUCACUGAAACAUGUUUCAUCAAAAGGUUAUUGUGGCAGCAGCAGAAAGGAGGAACAAUAGGCGUGCAUUACAAGACAUUGGUAAUCUUGUGGCUAAGCAAGCAGAACAAAAUGUGACAAAGCGCAACACAAGAAAGUUUUAUGCUAAUAAUCAAGCUGCAGUAGAGAAGAACAAGAAAUCAAGCACUGAACUUGCAAAUGGAGCAGGAGUGGUUCCAGCUAAUGGGGGUUGGUGUGAGGAACUUCAUUGCUACAACAAAGUUAGAAGCAGCUAAGAAGCCACCAACAGAACAUGAAGUCAUUGUCAUCAGCUCAGAUGAUGAAUCCGAGAAAGAAAAGAAGAGGAAGCCAGAAGCCGCUAGAGGAACAAAGACAAAGGAAGGGGUAACCAGGGAAAAUGCUAAGGACUUCAGUUCAGUCCUCUCGACUAGAAGCAAGGCUGCUUCUGGACUCUCUUAUAUGCCCAAGAAAGUGGUGAACAUUGUUGCAACUGACAUGGACAAUGAAUUGGCAGUAGUGGAGUACAUUGAUGACAUAAACAAGUUCUACAGACUCACUAAAGAUGAUGGUCGUGUGCAUGAUUAUAUGGGUUCACAACCUGAUAUAAACGCCAAGAUGAGAUGAAUCCUUGUGGAUUUGGGAGGAAGUGUGUCACGUAUUCAGAUUGAUAAUGAAGACUAUGAUGAUGAUAAGGUUGAAGAUGACCCUGAGUAUUAUAGUUAACAUUUUUAGUAUAGUUGAACAAUACAUUGGGAUUAUAUCAAUACACUUGUGUUUAUGUUUUGAAUUGACUUGUUUGUUUAUAGUACUUUUCUUCUGGUUUGA